GUCGAAGUGGGUCAACCGCCUGAAUCCAAAACCCUGUAAUACAUCCAUCGUCGUGCAUAGACGGCUAUCUUUCAUCUGGGGGAGAUGAACAACAAACUCAAGAGGAAACCGGAGGCCAUGCAUGACAUCAACGCCUGAUAAAAGGCCCAAGCAAGAAACACCAAGGAAUCGAACUAGACUACUGGUUUUAGGCACGAAACAAACGAGGCACAAAUUCAAGGUAGCUAGAAACUAUAGUGAAGGAGAAGCCAUGAAAACCACGCAUCGGUCUCUUCGGUGUACCAUUCGUGCCUUUUGGCCGACCUUCUAGAUCGCACCCACGAGCAAACCACCACCAGAAACUAAUCCAUGCCAUGCAAAACCAGG
rnacentral:misc_RNA from 1 species